rnacentral:lncRNA from 1 species
GUGUUGUUCGGGACUUUUCCAUUCCUGUAAUGUUGCAGAGUUCUUUGAUGAUCUUGCUCUCAAAGUUAGCUCCUUGAUCAGAAUGAAUACGACUAGGCAAUCCAUAGUGUACAAUGAAGUUGUUGAAAAACGCAUCUGCUGUGGUUCGUGCGGUCUGGUUCUUUGUAGGAACUGCUAAAGCAUAUCUGGUGAAGUGGUCUGUGAUUACCAAAAUGUUUUCAUAUCCACCUUUUGAUCUUUCAAGUUUCAAGUAAUCCAUGCAAACCAGUUCUAAAGGUUGUGUUGUUUCUAUGCUGAUAAGUGGAGCUCUAUCAUUCGGAAGCUGUUUUCGACGAAUACAUCUUUCGCAGUUGGUAAUCCAGUUCUCGAUGUCUCUGUUCAUACCAUACCAGAUGAAGCGGUCACGUACCAAUGAUAAGGUCUUGUCUCUUCCCUGGUGGCCCAUGUCAUCAUGUAAAGAUGUGAGAACUGUGGAUAUGCACUUUUCUGGGAGAACUAGUUGUCUUGAAGUUUCACCAUCAGAUUCUAUCUCUCUGUACAACACUCCGUCUAUAAUCUUCAGCUUCUCAUAGUUGUUAAGGAACCAGUUGUUGAGUGGUGAAUAGCUCAGCUGUUGUUUAUCUGGUUUGCGAUGUUCGUUUAUCCAAUAUAUCCAGUCUUUGAUGAAUCUGUCUCUGCGUUGUUCGGCUUUAACAUCAACUAACUUCUGAGAUGGUAAUGAAGGAUCCACAGAUGCAUCUGAAAUAAUCGAUAAGCUCUGGUGAUGAGGUUGAGCAUGUUGCAGGUUACAGAUGGCCUUCACUGACUCUGGUUGGAUGGUUUCAGUACAUCUAGAUAAUCCUGGAAGUCUAGAUAAUCCAUCGGCAUCUGCAUUAGCCUUUCCUGGUCUGUAUACAAUGUUGAAAUUGUAAGAUGACAGAGCUGCUAUCCAUCUGUGUCCGGUAGCAUCUAGUUUAGCUGACGUCAAGACAUAGGUGAGUGGGUUGUUGUCCGUUACUACAGUGAAGGUGUUUCCAAAUAGGUAGUCGUGGAACUUUUCUGUCACUGCCCACUUUAAAGCCAAGAACUCCAAUUUGUGGACAGGGUAAUUCUUCUCGGAUUUACUCAAACCUCGACUGGCAUAUGCAAUGACUAUCUUCUUCUCAUUCUGUUCCUGGUACAACACAGCACCUAGUCCAAGCAUCGAUGCAUCUGUAUGAAGUUCAAAGGGCUUGGAGUACGAUGGAAAUCCAAGGAUCGGGUGGCAUGUGAGCUUUGACUUCAGUUGUUGAAAUGCAUCUUCUUGUGAUUUUCCCCAUAUCCAUGAUGUAUUAGCUGGUUGUAGUUUCGUCUUGCGCUUUCUUGUCUUCUUUGGUGGUGGCAUAAGGUCAGUAAGCGGUCUGGCAAUCUUCGAAAAGUCUUUAAUGAACUUCCGGUAAUAUCCAAUGAAACCCAGGAACUGUCUUACCUCGUCUGCAGAUGUUGGAGGUGGCCAGUUGACAACUUUCUCUAUCUUCGCUGGGUCGGGUUGUAUACCAUCUCUAGAUACUAUAUGACCAAUGUACUUCACCUUUUCCUGAAAAAAUGCGCACUUCUUUGGUGAAAGCUUGAGUCCACUCUCUCGUAGUCUCUGUAGAACUCUUUGUAGUCUAUCUAGAUGUUCUUCUUCGUAUGUAUCUGAGAAGAUAAUCAGGUCAUCA